UUGCCCCAGUAACGGCGAGUGAAGCGGCAACAGCUCAAAUUUGAAAUCUGGCCCCUUUGGGGUCCGAGUUGUAAUUUGCAGAGGGAGCUUUUGGCGUCGGUCGUGGUCUAAGUUCCUUGGAACAGGACGUCACAGAGGGUGAGAAUCCCGUACGUGGCCGCCGGCCUUCGCCUUGUAAAGCCCCUUCGACGAGUCGAGUUGUUUGGGAAUGCAGCUCUAAAUGGGAGGUAAAUUUCUUCUAAAGCUAAAUACCCGCCAGAGACCGAUAGCGCACAAGUAGAGUGAUCGAAAGAUGAAAAGCACUUUGGAAAGAGAGUGAAAAAGCACGUGAAAUUGUUGAAAGGGAAGCGCUUGCAGCCAGACGUGCCCGCGGUUGAUCAUCCAGGCUCCAGCCUGGUGCACUCCUCCGCGGGCAGGCCAGCAUCAGUUCGGGCGGUCGGAUAAAGGCCUCUAUCACGUACCACCCCUCGGGGUGGCCUUAUAGGGGAGGCGCAACACGGCCAGCCCGGACUGAGGUUCCGCGCAUCUGCUAGGAUGCUGGCGUAAUGGCGGCAAGCGGCCCGUCUUGAAACACGGACCAAGGAGUCUAACAUCUAUGCGAGUGUUUGGGUGUCAAGCCCGAGCGCGCAAUGAAAGUGAACGGAGGUGGGAACCCUCACGGGUGCACCAUCGACCGAUCCUGAUGUCUUCGGAUGGAUUUGAGUAAGAGCAUAGCUGUUGGGACCCGAAAGAUGGUGAACUAUGCCUGAAUAGGGUGAAGCCAGAGGAAACUCUGGUGGAGGCUCGCAGCGGUUCUGACGUGCAAAUCGAUCGUCAAAUUUGGGCAUAGGGGCGAAAGACUAAUCG
rnacentral:rRNA from 1 species